rnacentral:lncRNA from 1 species
GUAGCUCCGAUUUGACCCCUAACCUGGGAACCUCCAUAUGCCGCAGGUUCAGCCCUAAAAAGACAAAAGACAACAAAAUAAAUAAAUAAAUAAAUAAAUAAAUAAAGUGGUUUCUGUUAAAAAAAAAAAAAAGAAAAGAAAAGAAAAGAAAGAAAGAAAGAAAGAUUCCUCUGCAUACAAUGUAGGGAAAGAAUUAGCUGGAGGAAAGAUCGAAGGCAGAUGGCUACCUCAAUCAUCCAAAAAAAGAUGAUGGAGAGCUGACCCAAAAAGGUGACAAUGGAGACAGACAGACCUGGACAGACUCAGGACUCAGGAGAUAUUAAGAAACCAAAGGGCAUGAUGAUGCAUCAUUUGGAGGGUGUUAGGGAGAAGUCAAAGAUUAUACCAUGUUUCUGACUUGAAUAAUUAGAGGUACAUCAUCCACUGACAUAGGAAAUACUGAGGAAGAUGCAGAACUGGGGAAAAAGAUAAAGAGUUCAGUUUUGGACAUGCUGGACUCAAGGUAUCCACGUAAGAGUUGGAUAUGUGAUUGUGAACUGAAGACAGUUAGCUAUAUGGGUCUGGCCUUCAAGACAGCAGUCUGGCUAGAGACAUAAGUGAGGCAUCAUCAGCAUACAUACAGUCAUAGAAACCUGGGAUGAGACUGAAAAAAAGCUGUUAGAAAAGCAGGAAGAAACUCAGUGGAGUGUGGUUUCAUAAAUUCAAGAGAGCACUUCAAAAGGAAGCAAAGGGUAACAGCGUCAAAUAUUGUUCAGGCCAAAUAAAAUAAGGACCAACAAGACUGUCCACUAAUUGUAAACACCUCUGUGCCUUUGCUCAACCAGAAACCAUAGAAACAUUUCCCAUCUUUCUUUCCAAGAUGGUCUAAAAUUGCCUCAUAUUUGCACAGUGAUUUACUGAAUAUCAUUACAUGUUACCACAUUUACUGACUGUAAGAUUUUGAGGGUUAAAACCACCCCAUGUAUCUUGGCAUCCCUCUCAGCUCAUUAAAAAUGUGGAUGCCGUAGGUUCCAAAUUUGCCAAAUUUGCAUAGAAAUUUGAAUGAAAGAAGAAGAUGGCAAGAGCUGCUCCACAGUCCAGGACUAUUGCUCGUCCCUGUCGUCCCUUGUCUUAGUCUCACAACUAAGACAAGUCUGUGUCCGUGUGAGAAGAGUUGUGAAGACCUUCCCUAGACUAUUUCAAAAAGAACACCAGUCAAUUCACCGUUAUAUGCAAACUUAAUGAAACGAGGGCGACAAGGCCAUUCUUCCUUUUCACCACAAAAUUAACCUCAUGGACCAGCAGUUUAAUGCCAGCCCUGGAGCAAAGUGCCCACAUCUCCCUGGACCUUGAUUGCCCUCAUUCACCCUAAAAGGGAGGCCAUGAGCAGCCACUGAUAAGGAGGCAUUCAUCUUCUGACUGUUCUUUUUUCUGGAGGGCAAACGUUUAAAAGGAAAACCUAUUUGAAUAGGUGCAACUGCCAACUUCACUUACUCCUUCAUAGUUAAUGAGCCUAUUUUGUUUUAUGGGUGCUUCAAAAGAGCUGACAGGAAGGAGAUGGCUCCGAAUGGAAAACACGAAGUAACUUGCUAAGUCCUCAUUGUGAGUCGAGGGCUUGCCUUGUCGUGCCCUCACAGACUUACAUUUCAAUGAUUCCCUUUUCAAACACAGAUCAAAACCCAAAGGAGAAAAGAAUCCUUACUCUCCUCCAAAAUGUCAACAUGGAAGAAUAUUUCAAGGCAGCUUGAGGGAGAUGCAGCUGCCAACACAGUAACUGUUAAAGCAGUAGUGAUACGGUACAUUUUUUUUAAGACAUUCUGCCCAAAUCUCCAAAACUUGCUGCUCAGCAAGUUGCCCUCCCCCUCCCCCCACAACAUUCCUCUUAAGUUCUCGAGAGGCUCUGGCAUUUAGAACACUGGCAAACAUUUACUCAGUGCCUCGAAGGGCACCUCCAAAAUGGCUGGGUCCUUAAUAGUGACACACCACACUGGUAGCCCUUUAAGCAGUAGCUUUUUAUAAAUGGAAAGAGGACAGAGCAGUGAAGAUGAAAGUUAAAAGUAAACAUCCCCAGCUCUGUCCAGAUUAUGUUGCCUAAAGAAACUAGUUCAGUAAAACAUUAGUGUGAUAUUAAGCACCAUAGGAAUUUGGGUAGCCCCUAUUUUCAUCAAGCUGUUUUGUCAUUCAGCACUGCCUCCAUAUUAAGAUUUCACAUAAUAAGCAAAUUUCACUUCUGAAUGUCUUUAUCCCUCACACUGUGGUUUCUACUGAAACUCUGAGUGGGUUAAAAACAGAUGAUCCACUUUACACUAGUCCAUCCUACAGAUGUCCAAGCAUGCAUGGCAUCAUUAAAGUGGGACCAGCUAUGUAAUGACAGCAUUUGAAACAGGAGAAAGAGUAUUAUAAAUCUGAAGCUUAGGAAGGAAAUUAGAGAUUUAACCCAAUGUCAGCAUUUUAUAGGACUUAAAAAAAAUUUUUAACAAGCUGAGACAUGAGAGAAAGUGUUUUACUAAGGUCACAUAGUUACAACUACUGUCUCAGAACUGGUUUUAUUCUCCAGUGUUCCCACUCGUUUAAUACCUGUAAUAUUAGAUUCCUAUCACAAUAUAAUACAUUUUAUAAUCUUAAUAACCACACAGAGCACAUAGCUGACUAGGAGGCCUUCGGGAAUAACAUAGAUAUAGAGAUUAAGAACAAUUCAGGUAGGAAACAAUAUUUUGCAAACAGCAACUAUAUAUUAAAUUGAGAAGAAGGUUAUUUGUAAUAGGCCAGAAAUUUUUCACCUCUAGCUAGACUAUUUUUGAUAGGGAGAGAGUAGGAUAGUUACACAAGUGGUUGUAGGAGUCCCAGUAGGGGACCACAGAUAGAGAGGGAAACCUAGGGAAAUUUGGGAGACCACUGUAAAUUAAUAAUUGCUCAAGAAAGCCAUCAGAAAGAAGCAGGCUUGCUUAACUAUAAAACCAUGAAUAAAAGCACAAGAUAUGCCCCUGGUUAUUAAGUGAAAGAUAAAAUGAGGCCUGCAUUCAAGUUCAGCAAGACAAUGACCCUUAAGACCAAGGACAGGAGUUUAAGGGAAAGGUAACAUUCCAAAUUAGGAGACCUUUAUUAUAAGGAAACCUGAGAUGAUUUAACAUAUUUUAGCAUAUGUUACCACCCUUCUGCUGAUUUGAAUAAGCACCAGGACAGUCCUAGUUUGACCUCAUAGGGUCAAAUACUCUCUUAUGGGAUACAAAGGAGGAGCUAAUGAUAUAAGCCUACUGGAAGAAAGAGGAAGAGGCAGUCUUUUCCCACUCCUCACUUUCCUUGGAUUAUAAAAAUGUAGCCCACCUAAUCCUCAGGGCAAUGCUUCUUUGCCUGCCUGCUUCUAUCUCUCACAAGCGUCUUAUCUUAAUAAAUCUAUUUCUUGCCUGUCACUUUGUCUCUCACUGAAUUCCUUCUGGGCUGAGACGCAAAGAACCUGAACUAAGCCCAGACACCAGGUGAGUGAUUCUAAUUUUAAAAACUCUGGGUUCAAUCCCAGUCUGGCUUCUGGCUGGGUUCGAGUCAGAAGUGUUGUCUGUUUCAUUAUCCCCAUUUUAGAAAUGAGGAAACCAGGGCUAAAGAGGUUAAAUAAUUUUCCCAAUUGUUCACAGGUUCUGUGGCUAAUAAGUGAGAAAGCAAGGAUUUAGACCUAAGUUGUCAGGCUCCAGAGGCUACCCUCUUAACCACUAUGCUGUACUGACUAGGCUUAACAUAUAUGACUAGAAACAACAUGCAUGAGAUUGAUUUGAUUUGCAAACAGAUUCCCCAGAGCCUAAAAACAAGAGUUUUAUUCUACAUACAAAAUUUACAAUUAUUCUUCCUUUAUAGUAGGUCUUGGAACUGUUGAUCUAAAACAGUAAAAUAAUUCAACAUCUCACAAUUUUCAAGCAAUCCUUCCCACUGAUGUGUUGCACUUCAUUUCACUUGAUAAUUUUUACAAUGAAUUAAUAUAAGAUCGCACUCAGUUUAAGAACUACACCUAUAUGUUUAUUUUACUAUUUUUCAAGAACUUAACUUUCAACAACUUUUUUUUUCCUCUAAAAGAUUGCGUUUUUUAAACUAAAGAG